CCGGCACGGGUGAGUAACACGUAUCCAACCUGCCGAUAACUCGGGGAUAGCCUUCUGAAGGAAGAUUAAUACAAGAUGGCAUCAUGAGUCCGCAUGUUCACAUGAUUAAAGGUAUUCCGGUAGACGAUGGGGAUGCGUUCCAUUAGAUAGUAGGCGGGGUAACGGCCCACCUAGUCUACGAUGGAUAGGGGUUCUGAGAGGAAGGUCCCCCACAUUGGAACUGAGACACGGUCCAA
rnacentral:rRNA from 1 species